rnacentral:lncRNA from 1 species
GGGGUGAGACCUACAAGAAAAGUUCUGACUAGAGAUUGCUUCGACGGGGACCUUCUUUUUGGGGUCCCUAUUCGGGCCUCCUUUUAUAGAUAGAGGUGGGGGUUUUUGAUGGAUAGUUUGCUGACAUCACCGUAGGUGUCAUGAUGAAACUAUCGCACACCAGCCGUCACCAGAUAGGCCGUCGAUUUUGGAUAGUGGCACUCAAGG